rnacentral:rRNA from 1 species
GGGUUGUGAGGUUAAGCGACUAAGCGUACACGGUGGAUGCCCUGGCAGUCAGAGGCGAUGAAGGGCGUGCUAAUCUGCGAUAAGCGCCGGUAAGGUGAUAUGAACCGUUAUAACCGGCGAUACCCGAAUGGGGAAACCCAGUGUGACUCGUCACACUAUCAUUAACUGAAUCCAUAGGUUAAUGAGGCGAACCGGGGGAACUGAAACAUCUAAGUACCCCGAGGAAAAGAAAUCAACCGAGAUUCCCCCAGUAGCGGCGAGCGAACGGGGAGGAGCCCAGAGCCUGAAUCAGCAUGUGUGUUAGUGGAAGCGUCUGGAAAGGCGCGCGAUACAGGGUGACAGCCCCGUACACAAAAGCGCAUGUGCUGUGAGCUCGAUGAGUAGGGCGGGACACGUGGUAUCCUGUCUGAAUAUGGGGGGACCAUCCUCCAAGGCUAAAUACUCCUGACUGACCGAUAGUGAACCAGUACCGUGAGGGAAAGGCGAAAAGAACCCCGGCGAGGGGAGUGAAAAAGAACCUGAAACCGUGUACGUACAAGCAGUGGGAGCACCCUUCGGGGUGUGACUGCGUACCUUUUGUAUAAUGGGUCAGCGACU